rnacentral:rRNA from 1 species
AUUCCAGCUCCAAUAGCGUAUAUUAAAGUUGUUGCGGUAAAAAAGCUCGUAGUUGGAUUUCUGUUGAGGGCGACCGGUCCAUACAACGUAUGCGUAUCUGGCUCGGCCUCGGCAUCCUCUCGAUAGACGUUUCUGCGCUUGAUUGCGUGGAGCGGAUCUCGGGACUUUUACUUUGAGGAAAUUAGAGUGUUCACGGCAGGCUAUCGCCAGGAUACAUUAGCAUGGAAUAAUACUAUAGGAUCUUGAUUCUAUUUUGUUGGUUUCUAGAAUUGAGAUAAUGAUUAAUAGGGACAAUUGGGGGCAUUCGUAUCAACACGUCAGAGGUGGAAUUCUUGGAUUGUGUUGCGACGAACUACUGCGAAAGCAUUUGCCAAGGAUGUUUUCAUUG